UACAGAGGUCUCAAGCGUUGUUCGGAUUCAUUGGGCGUAAAGGGUGUGUAGGUGGCGCUGUAAGUCGGGUGUGAAAUUUCGGAGCUUAACUCCGAAACUGCAUUCGAUACUGCCGUGCUUGAGGACUGGAGAGGAGACUGGAAUUCAUGGUGUAGCAGUGAAAUGCGUAGAGAUCAUGAGGAAGACCAGUGGCAAAGGCGGGUCUCUGGACAGUUCCUGACACUGAGGCACGAAGGCCAGGGGAGCAAACGGG
rnacentral:rRNA from 1 species